GGCAUCAUGCUCUGAUACCUCCCCAGAUACAGCUUUCUGCCUCUCCUGCUACCAGGGCACCGUACCUAUUCUGCAACUGUGGACCUGUAGGUGGAGAAGGAACUGCUGUCCAUGUGCCAGAAGUCAUGUUAGUUAUUUUCAUCUCAUAAUUUCUAAUCAAUAUUGCAUUCAGCAUCACACCAGCUUGUCUCCAGAUGCCAGGACUUUUAGGACACACUGAUUUGCUCUUUUUUUGGUGUGACAGCUGUGCAUGGUGAUCCAGAACGUGGCUUGUCUUUUACGUCACUGUAGUCACUGCUGAAAUGCACUACCCGCAGCCUCCCUGUUCAGCAAGUAUUGAUGAAUGUCAGUGAGUGCAAUUUUUUCCUCAUGGAGAAAUUCACUGACACGCUAUUGCUUCAUCCACACUCCCAAAUCAGACACCACUGCAUCAGACUGCCCCGCUGCUGCCAUCUGUCACACAGCAACCACAUGUAACAGAAUACUGGCGGGAAGGCUCAACCUCUACUGCCAUACCACCCAUAUUAGCCUCUGACAUCAUGGGCCAACAUCAUAAAAUAGGAAGCGUUACUUUCAGAGCUUCCCUCAGAGAUAGAAUCUUCAAGAUGAUUAACAUAAGAAAGGAGGCAGAUAACAGCAUGUCAGAGAAGAGUGAGGGCUGGCUGCUCCCUGAAGUACAGAGAUCCUGGAGUCAAGAGCAGUAGUACUGCCAAGAAGCUUUAGUUUUGACUAUUGUGAAUGAUUUUGGCUUCUUAUUCAGCAACUUUUCUAGAUCAUUUAUGAAUAUAUUGAAGAGCACGCAUCCCAUGGUACGUUCCUGUGUUGUACAGAUGAUCUUCUUUUCUGAGCACUAACCACUUAGUCCCAUCUUUUCUCUUAAUGAGCAAUUUUUAUUUUUAUUUAUUUU
rnacentral:lncRNA from 1 species